UACGUAGGGGGCAAGCGUUGUCCGGAUUUAUUGGGCGUAAAGAGCGUGUAGGCGGCCUCUCAGGUCUGCUGUGAAAACUCGAGGCUCAACCUCGAGCUGGCGGUGGAAACCGUGUGGCUAGAGUCCGGAAGAGGAGAGUGGAAUUCCCGGUGUAGCGGUGAAAUGCGCAGAUAUCGGGAAGAACACCCGUGGCGAAGGCGGCUCUCUGGGACGGUACUGACGCUGAGACGCGAAAGCGUGGGGAGCGAACAGG
rnacentral:rRNA from 1 species